AAAAAAAACCCAAAAACCCAAAUGUGGUCAUGAAGAGUUGGAAAUGACUGAAAAAUGACUGAAUACCAUCUCUACCACCAAGGACAACAAUACAGAUGAAGGAAUGGUCUCAGGGAAAUUGAGUCAGUCAUACAGCUCAAUAAGCUAUGUAAAUGUCAGAGGUGGAAUUUUUGAUAAUCUUGAUCCAGGGCUAUAGUACAAUACCACAUCUAAUUCACUAUGGCUUCUUUUAGCCAUAAUCUGCAAUGCAUCCUUUGAGAGGAUCACCAUGGUUUUCAGUACCAGGAGUUGUUUUUUUUUUUUUUUUUUUUUUUUAGCCUUCUUAGCCUUUCCCUUGGAAUGAAGUCUAUUCUUCCCUUAGCAGUGAAUGGUAAUGUUCCUUUAGGAAAUUGCAAUAGAACAGGAUAAAUAAAAAUUCACAUUAAUCCAUAUUAUAGGAAAUUAAAGUCCAUAUUGCUGAAUACAAUAGAGACGGGGGAGAAUGCAUGUGGGAUGUGGGGCAGAGAAGCCAGCCACGGAUUGGCUUUUUUCUCCUGUGCACACCUUGCCUUAUCCAUUUUCUCAUUACUUUUGUUGGCUCGACAGAUGAAAUCAGAUGUCAACUCGAGCUUCUCCGCUGCUUGCUCAUCAGAACUUGCUAAGCCAGCCUUGGCUUCUGUUUUGUGUUGGGCAUCCUCAGCUUAGCGCUGAUCUUAGUCUUGACAGCUGGGCCUGAUGUCAGAGGCAGAACGCCGCCGGGUAUCCUAAUGCCCUGCCCCCUCCCUUUUGGAUCCCAAAUGCUUUGGCCAGAGUAUGGGAAAGGCAAUUCAAUUGUUUCAACUUGCUGUGAAAGCCAGUUUUAAUCUGGAAAUGACUAACACACACACAGCCUGUAUCUACCAAUUCUCCCUCCGCACUUAAUCUCAAACACCCAAGUUGCGCUCUUGAAUUAGGAUCUGUUGAAUCUAAAAGAGGGUUAAUAACUCCUAUCUUUUUUACUGUUAGAAUUGGGAGUAGGUAUUCUCGGUCCUAUUUGAACGUGAGGAUCCAGCCACCCUGAUUAACCGCCAAUAUCUAGUGCAACUGUCUAUCUGUCUGUCUUUCUUGGCUCUCCUUCCCCUGCCCCCCACCUCCGAGUCUCUUUUUCCAGCGCUCGCUCUGAGAACAGCUUUUCCUCUGUUCCCUGGGCCUCCCCAGGCUCUGAAUGCAGUAGCUGUAAUCCCUCAGUGUUCAGCGUUGGGUAUAUCAUGUAACUCCCCUCGCCUUCAUUCCUAUGCAGGACAGAGAUACCCAGGAAUGGAAAAAGAGGACUUGGGAUCAGCAUCUCUGUGUGAAGAGGAGCAAGAAUGAGCUGUCUUGGCUAUGUGUGAUGAAAAUAAAUCUCUGCAUUAUAUAGAACAGCAAGAGUCAGAAGAUUAUGGCAGAUGUGCCAGACAAAAUGCUUUAAUCCAAAAGAUGAAGGGUUUGGACCUUGUACAACAGUGAUUCUUACACAAGAGAUUAAGGCUCUGGGAGGAAGAACUGACAGAUGGAGACACUGGGACAGAAUGUCAAAGUCGACUCUGCCUUCCCUUGCCUCCACCGCCUCCACCACUCAUCAAUGUAGAAGCUCCAACAGAUGAACUUCAUUGGGCCCUGACCACCUCUUAAAAAUUAACAUUCUUGGGUUUGGACUGAGAACUAUUUGCAACAUGACCUUUUGGGGAAGGAAAGUAUUACAUGCCAAGGGUCAAUAAAUCAAUAAUAUUUAUUAAGUAUCUACUGUGUGCUAGUCAUUGUGUGAAUGCUGGGUCUGAAUUGGAUGCUGACAGAACUACAUCCUAAAUAGCAGAAUCUUGGUGGUAAUUAGCUACAGUUGGGAAAGACUGUUGUGCUUUUCUGUCCUUGGUGCAUUUUAAUAUGGGGCAUUAGGCAAUGUGGACUUGGAGAUUUUACCUUUCCAGAAACUAGAGGGCUCUCCAUUGCACCUUUUCCUCAACAUUCCUCCUCCCCCAGGUCUUGACUUUUUACCAGGCGUUUGGACUCUGAUUUUUUUUUGUUUGCUCCGUUAUCUUCAAGCCGGAUACAGGGGUGAAUAGUUAACAACUCUCAGGUCAAAUGGGAGCUUAAUUUUUCCUGCUCUUUCUCAAGGGCUCAGUGUUUACUCAUUGCCAUGGGAGCAGCCAUGGAAUUGAUUUCCUGUCCCCUCCUGGUAUUUUGCAGGCCUUGGCCCCCUAAGCUCUAGAAUGAUGGUUUAUGACCUAACAUUGCAGGCCUACUAGUUACUUACUUUACUGUUUCUGACAUUUGGCAGGUAGGAGGGAAAGUUACUUGUGAGCUAGGGUAUCUACUGAGAUAUAGUGCUCCUCCUCCACUGGUUCCCCCAUCAAUAUUUCUUCUUUAGAUGAUAGCCUUAGAAGGGAAAAAGCUAUGAAUCCUUGUUAAUGAAACCUGUCUUCAGUUUGGGUAGCCCUGGGACUCAUCUUUUGGAAAGUCAGCUGGAAAGAAAGACCCUUGUCUCUUUGACAAUGGUUUCUACUUUUAUGGAGCUGGUUGUCCUCCAGAAUUGGUAGCUAUUUGUGAUUGAGAACCCUAACACAUGCUUUUGAUGAGGUUCAACUUCCCCUUAUCCCUGACAACAGAAAAGAGAAUUGGGUCAUGAAAAACACAAAUUGUUUUUGUUGCUCACCUUUCUCAUCGGCUUAUUCUGGAAGCUGUCAUCUAUUUCUCAAGCUGAUUUCAUGGACAUUUCUUAUGGUUCAAGUUCAUGGGGAAGCAUUGAAUCAAAGAUGUAUGGAUUUAUUGCCUUCAAAAUGAAAGACUUGUUUCAUUAUUUAAGAAAUUAAAUCUGGACAUAUUCUACUACUUUACUCAAUGUGUAUGUCUAUGUAUAGGUUCCUUCUGAGGCAAAGGUAGAGCUCUUCCUGUGAGCCUUAUUUGGCAGGAAAUGAUCAAAGAUCAAUUACUCAGCAAACAUUUAUUAAGUGCUUAGUUAGUUAAUUAUUGCUUAAUUAGAGGCGGUCAGGUAUCUCAGCCAGUGAAUGGAGUGCAGACAUGACUUCAAGUAUAGUCGCAGACAUGACUUCAAGUAUGGUCUCAGACACUAUCUAUGUGAUA